GGACUUAAGCAUAUCAAUAAGCGGAGGAAAAGAAACUAACAAGGAUUCCCCUAGUAACGGCGAGUGAAGAGGGAAAAGCUCAAAUUUGAAAUCUGGCGGCCUACGGUCGUCCGAGUUGUAAUCUAGAGAAGUGUUUUCCGUGCUGGACCGUGUACAAGUCCUUUGGAACAAGGCGUCAUAGAGGGUGAGAAUCCCGUCUACGACACGGACUACCAGUGCUCUGUGAUACACUCUCAACGAGUCGAGUUGUUUGGGAAUGCAGCUCAAAAUGGGUGGUAAAUUCCAUCUAAAGCUAAAUACAGGCGAAAGACCGAUAGCGAACAAGUACCGUGAGGGAAAGAUGAAAAGCACUUUGGAAAGAGAGUUAAACAGUACGUGAAAUUGUUGAAAGGGAAACGCUUGAAGUCAGUCGCGUCUUCAGAAAUUCAGCCUGGCUUCUGCCUGGUGUACUUUUCUGUUGGACGGGCCAGCAUCAGUUUUGGUCGCCAGAGAAAGGUGAGAGGAAGGUGGCACCUCCGGGUGUGUUAUAGCCUCUUAUCGUAUGUGGCGACUGGGACUGAGGACCGCAGCACGCCUUCAUGGCCGGGGUUCGCCCACGUAACGUGCUUAGGAUGCUGGCGUAAUGGCUUUAAGCGACCCGUCUUGAAACACGGACCAAGGAGUCUAACAUGCCUGCGAGUAUUUGGGUGGUAAACCCAUAUGCGGAAUGAAAGUGAACAGUUGGGACUUCUGUCAUGGAAGGCACCGACGCCCGGACCAGACCUACUGUGACGGAUCCGAGGUAGAGCAUGUAUGUUGGGACCCGAAAGAUGGUGAACUAUGCCUGAGUAGGGUGAAGCCAGAGGAAACUCUGGUGGAGGCUCGUAGCGAUUCUGACGUGCAAAUCGAUCGUCGAACUUGGGUAUAGGGGCGAAAGACUAAUCGAACCAUCUAGUAGCUGGUUCCUGCGAGCUUUCUCUUCCCGAGAGUAAUAA
rnacentral:rRNA from 1 species